rnacentral:lncRNA from 1 species
AAUGGGAGACAGCCUCAGGAUGAAGCCAACACUCAGAGAAUGACAAAAUCAAAACUUGGAGAUUAACUGACCUCAUAUAGCAUUGCAUAAGCCCCUGAAUCAAGUUAUGCCUGAAGCUUAGUCCUUGAGCCUUCAACUACAUGAACCAAUAUAUUUCUCUAAUUAACCAGGACCUUUUUAUUGCAUUGGGCCCAUCUGGAUAUCCCAGGAUAAUCUCCCUACUUCAAGAGAGAAUGAAGGCAAGGAGAAUGUAAGAACUCAGAAGGCAAGAAGAGAAGCUGGCAUUAGAAUGCGGUUGAACAAGAGAAAGAGUUGGAGAUGCUGAGUUCUGGAGGCAGAUCUACCUAAGUCUAGAGCAUUUACGAUGAACUCAAAUCAAUACUAAUACAGCCUAAACUUUGACAGAUUUUGGGAUGUCUCUCCAUCCUGACAAUUCCAGAAUGCAGAGCAUGUGGAGUGAGUGUACUGCUUUGCUAAGAGUUCCAGACAUUCUCUGACAGGGGAGUUAUCAAGGCCCCAACUUUUUUUCCUGAGACUCAAGUUAGGGAAAUCUGUUGGGAUGGACUGAGGUAGCUCAGACCAAAGCCCAGUUGUAAGGAAAGGUAACAAAGCCAGUGGAAUAAACUGACUAGAUGCUUAAAAUUGGCAGAAGCAAUGCCUGAGGCCAGAAUUAAGAAGAAAACAAAGGGGGAUGGUGGUAGAACCUGACCUUCCCAGUCCUCCUGGGAGCUCAUGUAUACCUGGGGCAAUAGCUGUGUAAAUGAAUCAAAAUUUCUGUAACCUUGAGAACCCUGGCCAGGUUGGUGUGGAGCCAUUUUGAUCUGAAAAAACACUAAAGAAUGAGUAUUUCUUCUCAAGAACGAACACCACAAAGCCUUUCCUCAUCUAUUCAGAACCUCAUCUAUUCAGAACCUCAUCUACUCAGAAUUUAAAAACAUUAUUUAAGAAGAGACAAGGAAAAAAAGAUGGAGGGAUGAUUUUUGUGCCAUUUCAGGGUGACAGAAAAGGAAACAAGGAGAGCUGGAAUUGACCUGGAUCCUUGUGGGAAAUACUUCAGUGAUGGAUGGAAGCAGAGGGAGAAAGGACCAAAAUGAAGCCAGGAGGGACAAGAUGGCUGGAAUGUUUGGUUCUGAGGAUUCAUGAUUGUCCUUAACUCACACGGACUGAACUCUCGCUUGCCUGUCUUCCUGGGGCUUGUGUAAGAACAUCCUGCAGAAAAGUAUUAACAACGCGAGUGAUCUUC